CCUACGGGCGGCAGCAGUGGGGAAUAUUGCACAAUGGGGGAAACCCUGAUGCAGCGACGCCGCGUGAGUGAAGAAGGAAUUCGUUAUGUAAAGCUCUAUCAGUAGGGAAGAAAAUGACGGUAUCUGAGUAAUAAGCCCCGGCUAACUCCGUGCCAGCAGCCGCGGUAAUACGUAGGGGGCAAGCGUUAUCCGGAUUUACUGGGUGUAAAGGGAGCGUAGACGGUAGUGCAAGUCUGGAGUGAAAGGCGAGGGCUCAACCACAGGACUGCUCUUGAAACUGUACGGCUGGAGUGCAGGAGAGGUAAGUGGAAUUCCUAGUGUAGCGGUGAAAUGCGUAGAUAUUAGGAGGAACACGAGUGGCGAAGGCGGCCUACUGGACUGUAACUGACGUUGAGGCUCGAAAGCGUGGGGAGCAAACAGGAUUAGAUACCCUUGUAGUC
rnacentral:rRNA from 1 species